AUAGAAAUGGGGUUUCAUCAUGUUGGCCAGGCUGGUCUCGAACUCCUGACCUCAGGUGAUCCACCCCCGCCUCUGCCUCCCAAAGUGCAGGGAUUACAGGCGUAAGCCACGGUGCCCAGCCUCCUAAGACAUUCUUACCUGGUUUCUAGAACCACCUGUAACAUUUACCCACUCAACUGGACUUUGUUUCAUUUGUUUAGCUGACUGCAGAUGAUGAGGCCUUCUUGUCAGCAAAUGCAGGUGCUAUACUCAGCCAGUUUGAGAAAGUCUCUACAGACCUUGGCUCUGGAGACAAAAUUCUUGCUCUGGCAAGUUUUGAGGUUGAAAAAACAAAAAAAUGACAUGGUGCAGAAGCUUGUAACGUUGAUCACAUUCUUACUGUAACUGGUGUCUUUCUUCUGGGGGUUUUCAGUUAUUGCAAAGAAAUGAAGAGAUUCUGGAAAUGCAUCAAUAACCUAAGAAAAAGCGACAUAAAAAUAU
rnacentral:sRNA from 1 species